CUUUCUGCCACUAAGAUCAGUGAAAUGUACGCUAAACUGACAAAGGAGUGGAGAGCAGAAACGACAACUAGCAAUCAAGUCGCAGCAAUGAAGAACGCGAAGGGGGGGAUUCUGGCAGAGGGGAGAUUUUCAGCACAACACCUGUGCCGAAGCAAAUGCUACGUACGUUUUACAGGUAUAACAUAUACCUUAUGUAUUUCACCGAAAAUCCCUCAUAUUUAUUAUAAUUCAUUGUUUUAAGGUUAUUUUGAGAUGUGUUGCACUACUUUUAAGAGUGAACUAUUGUAUUGUAUUUAUUUUCUAAAUUGUGUUAAUGCUGUGAGGUCAUCAACGGGAGCCAUGCUUUUACUCUUCGGUUUGCUCAGCGCGUGAUGAGGAGAGGCAAUAAACUUGUGUAUGGUAGUCCAAACGGCAGCAUCAACAUUUGCUUUGUAUUUGUGUCCAUUCCAUGCAGUCACUAAAAGAGAGACAACCGGCAGAAUUGUGUCCAGACUUGUCUUCCACCUACACCUCACCAGAACACAACGCAGAAAGAAGUUAAAGUUUCCCGAUGCAGAUAUGGUCAGACCAAGUUAUGAGUAAUUUUUAGUGUCUUCAAUUAUGGUGUUGUUCAGGGUGAAUUUCUAUUUGUUUCUUUUUUUAAAUUUACUGCCAGGGCCCAAUUAUGGAAAUUUGCUCUAGAAUGUUAAGGUUCUGUUGAAGACCAUUGGUUGGUGAUAGAAUAACCAAAUCCUCAGCAUAUAGCAGGUAUUUUACCUCCGUGUCAAAUAGUGAGUCCUGGGGCUGGAGAAGGUUCUAACAUGUCUGCUAAUUCAUUGAUAUAAAUGUUGAAAAGAUUUGGACUCAAACUGCAGCCUUGUCUCUCACCUUGACGUUGUGAAAAUAAUUAUGUUCUUUGGUUUUUGAUUAAAAUGCAAAUCAAUUUAUAACAUUUUUGACAUGCGUUUUUCUGGAUUUGUUUGUUGUUAUUCUGUCUCUCACUGUUCAAAUAAACCUACCAUUUAAAAUUAUAGACUGAUAAUUUCUUUGUCAGUGGGCAAACGUACAAAAUCAGCAGGGAAUCAAAUACUUUUUUUCCCUCACUGUACAUCUAACCUGACAGGAGGAAUUAAUCGAUGAACUCUGACCUCUUUCGCCAGUCCAUUCCUGCUUCACCGAUAUCAGGUGCCACAGCCUCCUCUCAUUCAUCUCUCUCCAUAUCCAUGCCUAAUAAAUACGACGGCUCCCCAGGGAAAUGUCAAGGAUUUCUCAUGCAAUGUAACCUGUACAUAGACCAUCACCCUGCUGUCUUCACCUCUGACAAAGACGGCGUGGACUUCGUCAUCUCCCUACUCACAGACAAAGCUCUGGAUUGGGGCACAGCCCUGUGGGCCGCUCAAAGUU
rnacentral:lncRNA from 1 species